CAGGCUGGGUCUGGAGGGGGGCCCUCCCUGGCAGCCCCGUGACGGCUCUGUGUUCUCCGUUGUCCCAGGACGUCGGGAGGAGCGAUGGCAGACUCCUCAGCAUGCUGGAGAUGUCUGAGUGCAAGUCUGCAGGUGGGGACACCACAUUUCCGAAGCGCACGCAGUGUGGGACCCGGGCUGUUCGACACAGCACUCCCUGCCCCUGGGCAGUCACCCAGUAUGAGCUGGCUCCGACCUCCCCCAGGAGCUGGCUCUUGGCAAGCCGUGGGGGAAAGGCCAGGGCCUGUAUCUCCUCCCCAUACGCUCCGGGAGCCCCACUGAUCUCAGGGCCAGUGCUCCUGCCGGGGGGCUGCAGCUCAGCACCAUGACCAGCGCAGGCGGGGCAGAGGGACACCGACGCAAGGUGCUUAUGGGAGCCCUGAGCCCCUUGGUAACAGGCCCCCCAGCCUGCCCCAGUGGGCUGUGGCUGAUUUCACCUGCAGCGCAGGCUCUGUUGGGGCCCAGCAGGAUCCCCUGCCCCAUAGCACCCGAGCUGGCAGCUGGAGGUGCGGGCGGGCUGCCUAGCCAGCCUCGGGUCUGUGGGGUGCAGUGGCCAGCUCACCCCUAAGCAGAUGGAGCGCUGGGGGUGGAGAAGCCUCCCCAGCCCUGCUGCUGCUGUGGAGUGGGGGCUCCAUGCUCCUGGCUUGUCCCCAUGUUGGGCUCUGGGCCAGGUCCCUAGGCGUGCUAGUGAGCGCUGGGCUCAGAGAGUUGGGCCCGCUGGAACCUGGCGUCUCUGCUCCGUGCGAGGGACAGCCCGGCCCGGUCCGGCCAGGGUUGGGAGUGAGAUUCACUGGGUGUGUGAAAUGCCCCUGCCCCCGCUUCCUGGCCGAAAGGGGCCACACUCUCCAAAGCGCCCGGGAAGCAGGCUGCUCCUGCUAGUGGGUCCCUGGCCCUGCCUGCAGCUCAGCAGUGCUGCUGGCUCCGAGACAGAGCUGCUGCGUCGUGCAAGGCUCCGCUGUGUUCUCAUUGCAGAUGCUGAUGUGGGGCCCAUGCUGGCAGCAGGAGGAGACCCAAGGCACACCCUGUCGGGAGCUGAGCAGGAAGCUGGGUGCAGCCUGGCCCGGGAGAGCCCGCUUCCACACAUGGCUUUCAGUGACUUGCCCAGUCCAGCCUUGGUGUCCGCUCCCGAAGCUGCAGGCUACCCGGGGGGCUUCCAGCAGCAGAACAAGGGCAGCCGGAGGAGGAGGAGGAAAUUCUGAGGCGUGAGCGAUGGAAAAGGGAGACCCACAGUGAAGGGGCAGCAGGGGCUAUGGCCUUGUCCAGCCAGAGCCCCUGCCCACGGCCAGGCAGCGUGGUGCACUCGUGUGCCACGACUGGGAGCCGUGGGCGAGAGACUCGCUGUGGCGCGUUCGCCAGCUACACAUAUAUUUAUGGAUGUUUUUAUGAAAUGGCAGCGACCUGGUGGAGCAUUCUGCGUCUUUCUU
rnacentral:lncRNA from 1 species